GAUGAACGCUAGCUAUAGGCUUAACACAUGCAAGUCGAGGGGCAGCGAAUAGAUAGCUUGCUAGUUAUGUCGGCGACCGGCGCAUGGGUGAGUAACGCGUAUCCAACCUGCCCAUAACUAAGGGAUAACCCAGCGAAAGUUGGACUAAUACCUUAUGUAUUCGUUUGAUCGCAUGAGAUUACUAAUAAAGUUUUAUCGGUCAUGGUUGGGGAUGCGUCUGAUUAGCUUGUUGGCGGGGUAAGGGCCCACCUAGGCAACGAUCAGUAGGGGUGCUGAGAGGUAGGUCACCCACGUUGGAGCUGCGACCCGGACCAAACUCCUACGGCGUGCCGCAGUGAGUAAUAUUAGUGAAUGGACGCUAAUCUGAACCAGCCAAGUAGCGUACGGGAUGACUGCCCUGUGGAUUGUAUUCUGCUUUUAUAGGGGGAAUAAGUGGGAAACGCCUUCCGUUUUGACGGUACCAUAUGAAUAAGGACCGGCUAAUUCCGUG
rnacentral:rRNA from 1 species